rnacentral:rRNA from 1 species
AUGAACGCUGGCGGCGUGCCUAAUACAUGCAAGUCGAGCGCACGGACGAGAAGCUUGCUUCUCUGAUGUUAGCGGCGGACGGGUGAGUAACACGUGGAUAACCUACCUAUAAGACUGGGAUAACUUCGGGAAACCGGAGCUAAUACCGGAUGAUAUUUUGAACCGCAUGGUUCAAAAGUGAAAGACGGUCUUGCUGUCACUUAUAGAUGGAUCCGCGCUGCAUUAGCUAGUUGGUAAGGUAAUGGCUUACCAAGGCAACGAUGCAUAGCCGACCUGAGAGGGUGAUCGGCCACACUGGAACUGAGACACGGUCCAGACUCCUACGGGAGGCAGCAGUAGGGAAUCUUCCGCAAUGGGCGAAAGCCUGACGGAGCAACGCCGCGUGAGUGAUGAAGGUCUUCGGAUCGUAAAACUCUGUUAUUAGGGAAGAACAUAUGUGUAAGUAACUGUGCACAUCUUGACGGUACCUAAUCAGAAAGCCACGGCUAACUACGUG